ACCUGGCUGGCUCAGUUGGAAGAGCAUGGGACUCUUGAUCUCAGGGUCAUGAGUUCAAGCCCCACACUAGGUG
rnacentral:tRNA from 1 species